GCAGCUUGGAUAUGUAUCACUGUGUGGCCGGGUUCUGGGAAAACUGCGGGCACCGGAGGAAACCAUUCAAACUCCUGGGUGAUUUCUAAUUUGGGCCCAAAGGAGAAACCGCAAGUCGAGAUCCACAUGCCUACGGGGACGCCAGCUGCUCAGAGGACAAAGCUUGCACCACCACCGCUCAGCUCCAGAGCGUCAGAAAGCAGGAAACAUGGAAUCGCGUUUACCUGCGCACUGCCAGAGCCAGGCCACACCUGCCAGACCGGAAAGGUCAAUGGAUUUAGAAUUCCUCUCCUAAGGCUGCUGGAUACACACCUGUAGGAUUGAAGCAUCUCACUGGUGGAUGAGGACCUAGCAGGAUGCCAGAUGCCCAGACUUGUUGGAGUCUCUGCCUUGUGCCUGAUGCAACUGCUUUGCAAUAGUCGGCGUGAAGUGAUGAUUCUGGAACCACAGAAAACUGAGUGCCUGUGAAUGAUCCCAAGUGUCUUUGCUGUCUCCAUUGCAGUGGGCCAAGUGUGGUAGGCAAGUCGCUUUGGAUGCUAAAUAAAUUUCAGAAAGAAAUCAUGACUCGCUCUCUGUCUCUGUGUCUCUGUCU